rnacentral:rRNA from 1 species
AACGAACGCUGGCGGCAGGCCUAACACAUGCAAGUCGAGCGAGCAUUUCGGUGCUAGCGACGGACGGGUUAGUAACGCGUGGGAACGUGCCCUUUGCUACGGAAUAGUCCUGGGAAACUGGGGGUAAUACCGUAUGUGCCCUUCGGGGGAAAGAUUUAUCGGCAAAGGAUCGGCCCGCGUUGGAUUAGGUAGUUGGUGGGGUAAUGGCCUACCAAGCCGACGAUCCAUAGCUGGUUUGAGAGGAUGAUCAGCAACACUGGGACUGAGACACGGCCCAGACUCCUACGGGAGGCAGCAGUGGGGAAUCUUAGACAAUGGGCGCAAGCCUGAUCUAGCCAUGCCGCGUGGACGAUGAAGGCCUUAGGGUUGUAAAGUUCUUUCAGCUGGGAAGAUAAUGACGGUACCAGCAGAAGAAGCCCCGGCUAACUCCGUG